UUGUCCUUCAACAGCUACCUGGCAUGAAACCACCCACCACAUUUCACCUGAAAUGAAGUAUGCUGAGAAAAUAUCUUCAGACUUGGUCAUGGCUACUAAAUCUUAUCUUAUGCAAUUUGUAGUUCAUUCUCCAAAGCUGGUGAUGGUUUCAAAGAGCAGAAGUCAUAAACACUAACAGCCGCUGCCCUUCUGGCAAUAAGGUGGCACCAUGAAAUGCGUGCUUCUAAGGGAGGGUCAAUCCACUCUGUGAAGUGGGUUCCCCACUCAUUUUAUUGCAGGGUGCUAGGGCUUAGAGAGUUUGAGAGGAGGGCUCAAAAUCCUUUGCCAAUUGGGACGAUCCAGAAGUUGAGCUUCUAGACCACAGCUUUCUGGCACACCGGCCUCCAUGAACGAUGUGCUGGAGACUCAGAUUCCCCUUUCCUGUGAAAAUGGUUUUUGAUGAACUCUGACUGGGUUUCUGAAAAGGAUGUGGAUCAAAUCAUUCCACAGAGGCCGUUACCCUGGUCUUGGAGGUUUGAAGGACUUUGGAUCAUCUCUGUGUGACAAAACUACAUUUUUAAAUCACAUAACCUUUCCCUGGGUUGUGAGGGUUGAAAAGAAUGGAAAGGCAAGCAAAGGCAAAGAGACAAGAGGAAGAACAAUAAGCCUUUAAGCAAGGAGGGUGCGAGACACUCUGAUUCCCAUGAGAAGUUCCUAGAUGAUCUGGGGUGGAGACCCUGUGUAACGCUGAAAGACUUGGGCACCAUUCCGAGGGCUCCCGUGGGGCCUGCUUGCUUCUAGGCUGGGUACCAUAUUGGACAGUAAGUAUCAGGACUGUUUACACUGGUAGGAGUGGGUGUGGAAGUCAGGGAUGUUCUACUGCAGGUGCUUGUUGAAAUUUAGUGCUUUGGUUUUAAACUCAAAUACAAAUCGGAACAGCUACAUAUUUUGGAUGGUAGCAGGGUAUGGCAUUUGCUUUGUUAAUGCACACGGACAAUAAAUCUGUUCAUUUCAAUUUCCAUCUCAGGCAGAAACCAAAGGGCAUAACCUUCUCGCCUUGAUCUGUUUCAGGUCUGGGAUAAGGAGUGCGAAGAUGCUUGCUUCUUCACAACUUGUCUACCUUCUCUCUGCUUUGUUGAGGGUCUCACUGUAUAAUCUUACGCUGACCUGGAAUGCAUUGUGCAGCCAAGACCUGCUUGAGACUGCCGAGAGCAUGAGUCAGCGUUUAUAUUCUAUUGGCCUGUUCUGUGAAAGCAGUAAGUACUUAUAAUUCAUCGAAAGAGUUGUUGGAGUGUGACAUCCUGGAGACUCAGGACAACCUGGCAUGGAAUCCACUUAAUAGAAGCCACAUGAAAUCUAUUUGAAAUAAACCUGGAAGGGACCAGAACUGAAUCGGAAAUCCAAGUCUUUGUGUGGGGAUUGAUUGACGCACUCAGGACCAGAAUGCUGACAGAUCACAUGAACUCUUCCGCUCUGACUGUGGUUUGCAGCCUCUCAUUGCACUGUCAUUUUCACCACUGUGUUUCCCGCCGCGUUUCCUCCAGCACAGCUCUGUCUUCAGGUUUCUUUUAUCCGGUUCUGAUUUCCCUACUGCAGAUUGCCUCUGGGAGGUAUAUGUCUGGUGUCUGUCUCCUGUGCGUGUGUGGGCAUGUACACGUGAGGGCAGAGUCCAUUCGGCCUUCCCCUCUUGUUCCCCACUUUGCCUUUUGACACAGGGUCUCCCACCGAAGCUGUAGCUCGCUGUAGUUUUGGCUAGAUUGGAUGGCUAGAGAGCCCUUGGGGUCCACAUAUCUCUUCCCGCUUGGGGCUGGGGAUCAGUCUUCAUCAUGGAUGCAAUGCAAAAUCCAUGCCCGUUUUAAAAAUUAUUCUGUCUUCUCUUGUCAAAAACUGUAUUUUAAUGGCUUUGUAGCUUUGCUGAUGAAAAUAGUUAGCAAGCAGGAUUAUGUCCUGUACUAACACGGUCUUUCGAUGUUCAUGUUGCCUCAAGCAUUUCUGGUUGACCACUUUUAGUUGCAAAGUAGCAUUCCACUCAUAUUAUAUAUUAUAAUAAAU
ensembl:lncRNA